GUCAUAACUGUUAUGACUAAUCCUCAGGACAUGGGCUAGCUCGAAUCACCAAGCAAACACAUCAAGACUAAUCAAUCAAAUUGGCUUGAAAAGUGUAAGAUCGAUGUGGAUCCCUCCAUUGCUUUUUUUAGAUACCAAUAAAUUGGUCAGAUCAGUGAAUGAAACCAAUUAAAUAAUCAUCUCUCUUUAGGUCAAGCUAAACCACUUUUCUUGGACACCAAU
rnacentral:lncRNA from 1 species